GAUGAAGAACGUAGCGAAAUGCGAUAAGUAAUGUGAAUUGCAGAAUUCAGUGAAUCAUCGAAUCUUUGAACGCACAUUGCGCCCGCCAGUAUUCUGGCGGGCAUGCCUGUUCGAGUGUCAUUUCAACCCUCAGGCCCCCAGUGCCUGGUGUUGGGGAUCGGCCCAGCCUUCCUGUAAGGCCGCCGGCCCCGAAAUCUAGUGGCGGUCUCGCUGUAGUCCUCCUCUGCGUAGUAGCACAACCUCGCAGUUGGAACGCGGCGGUGGCCAUGCCGUUAAACACCCCACUUCUGAAAGUUGACCUCGGAUCAGGUAGGAAUACCCGCUGAACUUAAGCAUAUCAAUAAGCGGAGGA
rnacentral:misc_RNA from 1 species